AGUGGAAUUGCUGGAUCAUAUGGUAAUUCUAUGUUUAACCUUUAGAGGAACUCCCAGACUGUUUUCCAAAGUGAUUUUGCCAUUUUACAUUUCCUCCAGCUAU
rnacentral:pre_miRNA from 3 species